rnacentral:rRNA from 1 species
UACGUAGGGUCCGAGCGUUGUCCGGAAUUAUUGGGCGUAAAGGGCUCGUAGGCGGUUCGUCACGUCGGGAGUGAAAACUCGGGGCUUAACCCCGAGCCUGCUUCCGAUACGGGCAGACUAGAGGUAGGCAGGGGAGAGCGGAACUCCUGGUGUAGCGGUGGAAUGCGCAGAUAUCAGGAAGAACACCGGUGGCGAAGGCGGGUCUCUGGACCGAUACUGACGCUGAGGAGCGAAAGCGUGGGGAGCGAACAGG